CCUAAGUCGGAUUAGCUAGAUGGUGGGUAAAGGCCUACCAUGGCGACGAUCUGUAGCUGUCUGAAAGGAUGAUCAGCCACACCGGGACUGAGACACGGCCCGGAUUCCUACGGGAGGCAGCAGUGGGGAAUAUUGGACAAUGGGGGCAACCCUGAUCCAGCCAUGCCGCGUGUGUGAAGAAGGCCUUUUGGUUGUAAAGCACUUUAAGCAGUGAAGAAGACUCCAUGGUUAAUACCCAUGGACGAUGACAUUAGCUGCAGAAUAAGCACCGGCUAACUCUGUGCCAGCAGCCGCGGUAAUACAGAGGGUGCAAGCGUUAAUCGGAAUUACUGGGCGUAAAGCGAGCGUAGGUGGCUUGAUAAGUCAGAUGUGAAAUCCCCGGGCUUAACCUGGGAACUGCAUCUGAUACUGUUAGGCUAGAAUAGGUGAGAGGAAGGUAGAAUUCCAGGUGUAGCGGUGAAAUGCGUAGAGAUCUGGAGGAAUACCGAUGGCGAAGGCAGCCUUCUGGCAUCAUAUUGACACUGAGGUUCGAAAGCGUGGGUAGCAAACAGGAUUAGAUACCCUGGUAGUCCACGCCGUAAACGAUGUCUACUAGUCGUUGGGUCCCUUGAGGACUUAGUGACGCAGCUAACGCAAUAAGUAGACCGCCUGGGGAGUACGGCCGCAAGGUUAAAACUCAAAUGAAUUGACGGGGGCCCGCACAAGCGGUGGAGCAUGUGGUUUAAUUCGAUGCAACGCGAAGAACCUUACCUGGUCUUGACAUAUCUAGAAUCCUGCAGAGAUGCGGGAGUGCCUUCGGGAAUUAGAAUACAGGUGCUGCAUGGCUGUCGUCAGCUCGUGUCGUGAGAUGUUGGGUUAAGUCCCGCAACGAGCGCAACCCUUGUCCUUAGUUACCAGCGGGUUAAGCCGGGAACUCUAAGGAUACUGCCAGUGACAAACUGGAGGAAGGCGGGGACGACGUCAAGUCAUCAUGGCCCUUACGACCAGGGCUACACACGUGCUACAAUGGUAGGUACAGAGGGCAGCUACACAGCGAUGUGAUGCGAAUCUCAAAAAGCCUAUCGUAGUCCAGAUUGGAGUCUGCAACUCGACUCCAUGAAGUAGGAAUCGCUAGUAAUCGCGGAUCAGAAUGCCGCGGUGAAUACGUUCCCGGGCCUUGUACACACCGCCCGUCACACCAUGGGAGUUGAUUGCACCAGAAGUGGAUAGCCUAACCGUAAGGAAGGCGUUCACCACG
rnacentral:rRNA from 1 species